CAAUAUCUCCCAAAGGGCCGUCACCGGGGCCUUCACAACCUCUGAAAACCACUUGGUAAGCUCCGUAACCUCCUCCGGUGAUGAAUCUAGUGAAACCCACACCGUUUGCCCUUGCAAUGCCCCUCUUCAGUUCGUCUCCGACCGAUCGCCGUCCUUCAAGGCGUUCAAUCAGUCUCGUGUCUCUUUCGCUAUCAUCUAUCGCCCCAAUGACUCUGAUAGCUGAUCAGAUCGCUGGC
rnacentral:lncRNA from 1 species